GAAAUUGUGUUACUUGAGGUGUUCUAAUUACAUUUGGUUCUGUUGUGGAAAUUCUUGAACUGAUGUAUACUUUGUCUUAUACAUGUAUAAAUGGGUUACUAGUUAAAGAUGGCGAGCCCCCAUGUUUGGAUAAGAAAAGGAACGUGGUAAAGAGGGAUCUGGUGUUUGCCCUAGGGGCAUCCUUGACGGGCACCAGCAGAUUAGAGGGUUACUCGUAAAUUAGUAAAUCUGUAUAACCCUUUAGUGUCUAUCUGUUGUUUGUCCAGACAUUGUGACUCCUCAAGAGUUGAGAAGGUUACGCAUGUGAGGGAGGACAGCCUGUCCCUUUGUUUGAAGCCCAGGAUAUGUGAUGGAACAAGGGGAACGUGUUUUAUUGACAAGACAGUUGGGCAGCGUCUUACCACACCCCUUUUUCUUCUAUAAAUACGAGUCUCCUCGGAUGAUUGUUUUCAUUGAGAAAUUUGGUCUGCACCCUGACACUGAGGUCAUUUACAAAGAUUCCUCGAUAACAGAAGUGGACCCGGACAUCUUUUCCAAACUGUUGAAUAAAGGAGAGGAUUUGUUGAAGGUCUCUGUGAAUGAUGAUGGUCACUGAAGUUUUUCAAACAAAGCCGAGGGGGAGAAAAUCUUUCAAAAAACAAAGUCACUGUCAGAUGGAACCAGACGACAGCUUGUGAAUAUGUUGGUUGCUGAUAUGGUGGAGGUGCAUGGACGGAGGCUGUACGAAUCAACUAUGCCCAAGGAACACUUCUAUGAUCCAGUGUCGGGUUCCGGGUACCUUUCUUGGCGUCUUAAGACUGGGCAACAAAGUUUAUUUGAUCAGUCUAGGUCUUGGUUGGCAGAUGAACAGUGCAAUGCUGGUCCAAAAGCUGUAAGAGGCUCAGCUAUUGCCGUAAAACAACUGACUGAUAAUGAGUGUGAAGAAGCAAUAGCUGUGAUGAAUCAUUCCUCUGAUGAAGCACUAGUUUCAGAGAAAAUGAAGGCCACUUUUGAACACAGGCAGAAACUGGUCCAUGAUCCUGACAAGUCUGUGGAGGUCCUGGACACGUUCCCCAGAUUUCUUGACAUAACUGGCCUUAUUGAGCAGGACUUCCUGAAGCUUUUCAGAGAGGAGACAUCAGGGAAGUUCUUAGCCAGAUGGCCAACGUUUUUCAGACCACACAUCAUCAAAGAUGCCAAAACGCUAGGACCCUGUCUCCAUGUUGAGGCGCUAAUACCGUCAAGGUGAUGGUGGUAAGUUCAGUUAUUUUGAGAUUUUACCAUGUCAGUUUAAUACUUAUGACCCUAUACUUAUAACACUAACUGUUUGGGAUGGGACCGUGAUAUUGCUUCACUCUGCUUGCUGCUGCAUCUCAUUCCUCCAACAUCAAAGGGUCACAAAAAGUCUGCAAAAAUCAUUGGUGAGGUAUCUGUUAACAGUUUUUCUUAAUAACACAUCUUAAAAUGCUGCAUUCUCAGUGCUGCAUUCUCAUAGAAAGAACUGUUGCAGAAUAUGAAAAAUUGUGCAUUUUAAUAAGAAAACAAUGUAUUCUUAACAAUUCACACUUAUCCUUUUUACAAGAGAUUAAUAUAUUUUUAUGUUUAUUUUUUUUGCCUUUACAGGUUGGUGUAAGCAUUUCAAUCUUCUUUUCCAGUCUGGAACCUUCUCAGCCCUACCUGCUUUGCGUCAGCACACAAAAAAACUAUAUCCAGAAGUACAAUGUCAUCAUUGACAAAAAGGAUAUUUCAUGCCACAUCAAUUGCAGCAUUUGAUGAGCUAUUUAAAACACAUUUUGUAUUCGCAACAUCAUACAACAAGGCACAGGAUGGGUUUUACACCUUUAUCCAAACAGCAGUUUACAGCAUUGAUGUUGGUAAAACAAAAGAAAAGGCAAGAGUGAGGGAACUAAGGGCCAGGUAUCUUAAUCUGACAAACUAAUACAUUGUUCUUCAGUCAUGUUUACAUGUUUUGUUUGUAAAACCUUACACCAGAAUUCAUAUUCAAUUUGUCGCCAUCUAAAGUUUAAUCCUGGCUUGUAUCCAGGAAGAUUUUUGCGUUUGCAUUGUGCGGGGGCUAAAUGUACAUCAGCCUUUGGAAUUUACUCUGGAUUUAAAAAGCAUUUACUUCAAAUUCAUGGACAAUUCAUGGUUUCUUCCAAUUCUUCUGAGAUGGAUGGCAGUAGAAACGAGAGUGAGGGUCUCUCAGAGUCACCCAGUGGAUGUGAUAGUCGUGCUUCUGUUCCAUAUAAUUUUGUCAAUGAUUUGGCAUUGAGUGAUGAGGAUGAAAGUGGAGAAUUGAUAAAGAAGAGCUCCUCUGGAACUGAGAUUAACUUGAAUAUGUGUGCAUCUGCACAGUUACAAGCUUCAAAAGUAGCUCAUAGCACAGUUCAGGCCAUAGUUGAGUCAAUUGAGGAAUUGGUUGCUGACAUGCAAACCAAAACGAAGGAGCCCGUUUUCAGCAACAUUCCAUCAGAGCUUCAUUAGACAGUUGACAGAGCUUUCUGUUCCAUUGAAAAUCCAUUGACAAAAUGUAAUAUAGAAGCUAAACGGCAAAGAUACUAUGAAGACAAGUGGCAUAUUGUCCAACCUAUAGAAUAUGUUCUAGGUGUUAGAUUUGAUGCAAGAUCUGACAGAACAACUGGGAUAUACAGCCAGAUUCCUGUUACAUAUAAGUUCAUUUAUGUGCCUGUCCUCAAAACUAUUCAGUCAAUGUUCAGAAACAAAGAUAUCUUGGAGGGCCCGUUGCUGUCCCUGUCCAGAAUCCUCCUGGUUGUGUUGCAGAUUGAGAUGAUGCAUGACGAUUUCAGCUGCCACUGUGCUGACACCUCCCCUGUGUUGUCCCUUUCCUUGUUCAUCUGGUCAUGCUUCCGACCUGGUCUAAGUUUAAAUAGACUCUAGACUCAGCCCACAUGCAUUUAUUAAUUAUUACAAUUGUAAUCUUAAUAUGUUCACCUGGCACAGCUAGAAGAGGACUGGUCACCCCUCUGAGCUUUUCCUAGCCACUGAAAUUCAACACUACUGUUGUUUUCUCCUUGGGGUUUAAGGCCAGGUGCUUUAUAAAAGCCUUUUGUGUAACAUCUGCUGAUGUUAAGAGGCCAUUACAGUAGUCAACCCUACUAGAGAUAAAAGCAUGGAUGAGCUUCUCUUGGUUAUUUUUUAGAUGAUAGAAUGCUGUUUUGGUUUUAAGGGCCUGAGAAUCCAG
ensembl:lncRNA